CACAUUUUCCACGACAGCCCAAUUACGAGUUUCGCUUUCUCAAUCGUAAUUCGCACUCUAAACACAUGCCGUGAGCGAAUUACAAUAAAAGUGGGAAAUUCGUUAUUAAUUGUAACAAACAAGCGAAACGGAAAACUGUUAAAUUGCGUGGAAUGGUGGAAGUUCGCAUUUGUAAUUGAAAGAGAGAAAUACGUAAUUGGGCUGCCGUGGACAUGUAUAACAUUCAUACAAUUUUUUUAUCGAUAAUAAUAACCCAACGUGUGGACGUUAAAACUAUUAGUUGGUCUACAAAUUUGAUAAUUAGAUAUGUAAAUAUUGUAUAUACGCAUAGGCGUAUAUGAUUGCAUGCACAUGUACAUAUAAAUUGUAGUAAAAACUCAGAUUGGAAUAUUUAGUAUUACGGGAGUUUAAACGCCGAAAGCGCGACCUUAAUUUUUCUGCAGAGCAAAAACUCAAAUUAGUAGGUGGGACUGAGCAGAUAGCUUUCAUAGUAAGAUAAGCACAUGCAAAUAAUAAUUAAUCACCUCUUUGUAUACAUUUUGCAGAUAUUUUGUACACUUUCCCUUACCAUUUAAGUUUACUUUGUUAUUAUCCACCAGCUGGCUGCGAGGGGGUAGCUUAUUUCAAGAAAAAAACGUUUCUACUACAUUUUUUUUAAGUUUUUCCGAUAACGCGCGACCGCUGCUGUUCCAAAUGAGCGCCACCGCUUGAGGUUAAAUAAAAGUCACAAAAUUUUGUAAAGGAGUUUUCCACUUGGCUGUCCAGCUUUCCAAGGGUACACGCUGUUUUAUGCUACAAUAAGUUUAUUAUUAUUAUUAACGAGUAAUUUUAAAAUAUAUACAUUCUUUAAAUUUC